GGUAACAAGCACAUUUGAUAUGUUUAGGAUAUCAUAAAUGUGGGCUGGAGCCGUAGCGUAAGUGGCUGAGUGCCUGCCUAGGAAGCUGGAGGCCCUGAGUUUAAACCCCAUUACGGGAAGUGGGGAAGCAGGGGAAGGAGAAGAUGAUACACAUAUGCAGAUUUGUAAAAAUAGUUUUCUCUAGUCCCUGUCUACCACUCAGUGUCUCUGACCCUGUGAAUAUUUUCUUUUCCCAGUUUGUUGAUACAUACAGCAGGCUAUUAUUAGGCUAAUUUAUUGUUACUGACAAAAGAAACGUAAAAUGGAAAAACAUUUGUCAAAAUCACUUGUUCUUUCCCAUCUUUAUACCUCUCUUCAAACUUGACCUUGACUUCCUGUUGACCUGCACUUAAGUCUUUGAAGGCAACUUUUGUCUUAGAUAUCCUUAGAGUGCAUUGUGUGUGAGAGAUGAUUUUAGGUAUAAACUUUCCUACGCUACUUCAUCUUUUACCUCUUGAUGAUUUUCCUGUCUGUAGAAGCUGUCACUCUGCAAGGAUAAUCGUGAGCCUCCACCACCAGCAUAUGGCUGUAGGGAUGAUCUCAGGUGCCACAGUUAGUACUUUUCUUCACAAUGCCAGCGUGGCAACCAGCUUCAUGUUUCUGGGGUUCCUUGAUUUGGCCAUUUUGACAGCAGCCACCUUGAUCUACAGCGAAAGCAAUGAACUGUUUAAGACCAGAACUCAUGCUGCCUUCUUUCUGAUGUGGCAAACCAAAAUGAGUGAAUCUCUUGAGAUGUUCUUCUUCAUCCAAAGAAGUAAUCAUUAAUAUUCUGUGACUGGAACCAUGAUCACAUUUUUUAUACUUAUAGAUUAUGAAAGACCUAGAUUUGGGUAAAACUUGCAGUACAAAUAAAUAAAAUAGUUUGUCGAUUACCUAAGUGCAAAGUAUCACUCUACACUUGAGCCAUGCCCUCUCUCAGCCAAAGCAUCACUUUUCAGACUAUAAUUUGAAUA